CCUACGGGAGGCAGCAGUGGGGAAUCUUGCACAAUGGGGGAAACCCUGAUGCAGCGAUGCCGCGUGAGUGAAGAAGGCCCUUGGGUUGUAAAACUCUUUCGUCGGGGAGGAAAAUGACUGUACCCGAAUAAGAAGGUCCGGCUAACUUCGUGCCAGCAGCCGCGGUAAUACGAAGGGACCUAGCGUAGUUCGGAAUUACUGGGCUUAAAGAGCUCGUAGGUGGUUAAAAAAGUUGAUGGUGAAAUCCCAAGGCUCAACCUUGGAACUGCCAUCAAAACUUUUUAGCUAGAGUGUGAUAGAGGUAAGUGGAAUUUCUAGUGUAGAGGUGAAAUUCGUAGAUAUUAGAAAGAACACCAAAUGCGAAGGCAACUUACUGGGUCACUACUGACACUGAGGAGCGAAAGCAUGGAUAGCGAAGAGGAUUAGAUACCCUCGUAGUCCAUGCCGUAAACGAUGUGUGCUAGACGUUGGAAAUAUAUUUUUCAGUGUCGCAGCGAAAGCAUUAAGCACACCGCCUGGGGAGUACGACCGCAAGGUUAAAACUCAAAUGAAUUGACGG
rnacentral:rRNA from 1 species